rnacentral:rRNA from 1 species
ACACAUGCAAGUCAAGGGGAAAGGUUGUCUUCGGACGGCCGAGUAUACUGGCGAACGGGUGAGUAACGCGUAGGUAACUUGCCUAUCAGUCUGGGAUAACACUGGGGACGCGGUGCUAAUACCGGGUAUACUGCAUAGCUCGCAUGUUUUUUGCAGGAAAGCGGGCCUCUGGAACAAGCUCGUGCUGAUAGAUAGACCUGCGUCCCAUUAGUUAGUUGGUAGGGUAACGGCCUACCAAGGCAGCGAUGGGUAGCCGGCCUGAGAGGGUGACCGGCCACACUGGGACUGAGAUACGGCCCAGACUCCUACGGGAGGCAGCAGUGAGGAAUAUUGCGCAAUGGACGAAAGUCUGACGCAGCAACGCCGCGUGAGGGAUGAAGCUUUUCGGAGUGUAAACCUCUGUUAGGAGGGAAGAACGUCUAUUAUUCGAACAGGGUGAUAGAGUGACGGUACCUCCAGAGAAAGCCCCGGCUAACUCCGUGCCAGCAGCCGCGGUAAUACGGGGGGGGCGAACGUUGUCCGGAAUUAUUGGGCGUAAAGGGCGCGUACGCGGGAAGGUCAGUCAGAGGUGAAAGCUUGUGGCUUAACUGCAAGUUUGCCUUUGAUACUGCCAUUCUUGAGUUCGGAAGAGGGAAGUGGAAUUCCUGGUGUAGCGGUGAAAUGCGUAGAUAUCAGGAAGAACACCGGUGGCGAAGGCGGCUUCCUGGUCCGAUACUGACGCUGAUGCGCGAAAGCGUGGGGAGCAAACAGGAUUAGAUACCCUGGUAGUCCACGCUGUAAACGAUGGGUACUAGGUGUUGGGUUUAAUUACUCAGCGCCGGAGCUAACGCAUUAAGUACCCCGCCUGGGGAGUACGAUCGCAAGAUUGAAACUCCAACGAAUUGACGGGGGCCCGCACAAGCGGUGGAGCAUGUCGUUUAAUCCGAUGCAACGCGAAGAACCUUACUUGCGCUUGAACUUGUCGGUGACGUAUCCUGAAAGGGAUAUUCUGCUNNUUCGGGAAGCACCUAUAGAGGUGCUGCAUGGCUGUCGUCAAGCUCGUGCCCGUGAGGGUGUUUGGGUUAAAGUCCCGCAACGAGCGCAACCCCUGUUCCUAGUUGCCAGC